AGUGAACGCUGGCGGUAGGCCUAACACAUGCAAGUCGAACGGCAGCACAGUAAGAGCUUGCUCUUACGGGUGGCGAGUGGCGGACGGGUGAGGAAUACAUCGGAAUCUACUUUUUCGUGGGGGAUAACGUAGGGAAACUUACGCUAAUACCGCAUACGACCUACGGGUGAAAGCAGGGGAUCUUCGGACCUUGCGCGAUUGAAUGAGCCGAUGUCGGAUUAGCUAGUUGGCGGGGUAAAGGCCCACCAAGGCGACGAUCCGUAGCUGGUCUGAGAGGAUGAUCAGCCACACUGGAACUGAGACACGGGCCAGACUCCUACGGGGGGCAGCAGUGGGGAAUAUUGGACAAUGGGCGCAAGCCUGAUCCAGCCAUACCGCGUGGGUGAAGAAGGCCUUCGGGUUGUAAAGCCCUUUUGUUGGGAAAGAAAAGCAGCAGGUUAAUACCCCGCUGUUCUGACGGUACCCAAAGAAUAAGCACCGGCUAACUUCGUGC
rnacentral:rRNA from 1 species